rnacentral:rRNA from 1 species
GAUGAACGCUGGCGGCGUGCCUAAUACAUGCGAGUCGAGCGAAUGGAUUAAGAGCUUGCUCUUAUGAAGUUAGCGGCGGACGGGUGAGAAACACGUGGGUAACCUGCCCAUAAGACUGGGAUAACUACGGGAAACCGGGGCUAAUACCGGAUACCAUUUUUAACCGCAUGGUUCGAAAUUGAAAGGCGGCUUCGGCUGCCACUUAUGGAUGGACCCGCGUCGCAUUAGCUAGUUGGUGAGGUACCGGCUCACCAAGGCAACGAGUCGUAUCCGACCUGAGAGGGUGAGCGGCCACACUGGGACUGAGGCACGGCCCAGACUCCUACGGGAGGCAGCAGUAGGGAAUCUUCCGCAAUGGACGAAAGUCUGACGGAGCAACGCCGCGUGAGUGAUGAAGGCUUUCGGGUCGUAAAACUCUGUUGUUAGGGAAGAACAAGUGCUAGUUGAAUAAGCUGGCACCUUGACGGUACCUAACCAGAAAGCCACGGCUAACUACGUGCCAGCCGCCGCGGUAA